rnacentral:rRNA from 1 species
UACGUAGGGGCAAGCGUUGUCCGGAUUCAUUGGGCGUAAAGAGCGUGUAGGCGGCCAGGUAGGUCGGUUGUGAAAACUGGAGGCUCAACCUUCAGACGUCGACCGAAACCAUCUGGCUAGAGUCCGGGAGAGGAGAGUGGAAUUCCUGGUGUAGCGGUGAAAUGCGCAGAUAUCAGGAAGAACACCCGUGGCGAAAGCGGCUCUCUGGAACGGUACUGACGCUGAGACGCGAAAGCGUGGGGGAGCGAACAGG